AGUGAGCGCUGGCGGUAGGCCUAACACAUGCAAGUCGAACGGCAGCACAGUAAGAGCUUGCUCUUACGGGUGGCGAGUGGCGGACGGGUGAGGAAUACAUCGGAAUCUACUUUUUCGUGGGGGAUAACGUAGGGAAACUUACGCUAAUACCGCAUACGCCCUACGGGUGAAAGCAGGGGAUCUUCGGACCUUGCGCGAUUGAAUGAGCCGAUGUCGGAUUAGAUAGUUGGCGGGGUAAAGGCCCACCAAGGCGACGAUCCGUAGCUGGUCUGAGAGGAUGAUCAGCCACACUGGAACUGAGACACGGUCCAGACUCCUACGGGAGGCAGCAGUGGGGAAUAUUGGACAAUGGGCGCAAGCCUGAUCCAGCCAUACCGCGUGGGUGAAGAAGGCCUUCGGGUUGUAAAGCCCUUUUGUUGGGAAAGAAAAGCAGCAGGUUAAUACCCCGCUGUUCUGACGGUACCCAAAGAAUAAGCACCGGCUAACUUCGUG
rnacentral:rRNA from 1 species